CAGCAGCCACGGUAAUACGAAGGGGGCUAGCGUUGCUCGGAAUGACUGGGCGUAAAGGGCGCGUAGGCGGCGAUCAAAGUCAGGCGUGAAAUUCCUGGGCUCAACCUGGGGGCUGCGUUUGAUACUUGAUUGCUAGAGUGGGGAAGAGGGUCGUGGAAUUCCCAGUGUAGAGGUGAAAUCCGUAGAUAUUGGGAAGAACACCGGUGGCGAAGGCGGCGACCUGGUCCUUGACUGACGCUGAGGCGCGAAAGCGUGGGGAGCAAACAGGAUUAGAGACCCCAGUAGUCCCUGUCUCUUAUCC
rnacentral:rRNA from 1 species